AACUUACAUGUGCAGCUAGCUAGCGUUAGCUAUUGACUCGAGUGUGUAUGCACAGUUUCUUCACCGGCAAAAGAUGGCGGAUUGGCUGUAAAUCAGAUAAUUUGACGUCACCUUCUUGUUGCGGUUGUUUUGGGGCGAAGCAAAGACUCAUUAUUUAACAAUACAGUCGUGUGGGGAUUUGAUCAAAUGAUUGCCUGAACGCGUAACACAUUUUAAGUUGCUCUUUUCUUUUAACGAAGAAAAACGAAAUAGGGGAAAUUGUGGCAGUGCGUUCGGAAAGAAUCCAUUUUCAUUGCAUUUAAAAAGAAGGCAGCGGUGAACUCCACUCUGUAGGUUACUGGACUGCCUUGCAGCUUCUCUGGGACAUCCCACUCCAGGCUGAUGCUCUGCAUGGUGCUAUUGACAACCUGAAGGUUUUCUGGCUUGAUUGGCACUGAGGAGGGCAACGUUUCACAUGUCAGACCUCGCAAAUGAUGGCGAAGCAGGGAAAAUGCUGGUGGAGUUAAAUGAAAGAACUAAAUGGGAAGGAAUGGGUAUAUAAUUCAAUGGGAGCCUAUCUCAUACGCAGGGCUACAGAAGACAGGUGAGUGAGUUAAAUGCAUAAAGUUAUUUUAUUAUUUUUAGUGGUUGCUUUUUGAAAUUAUUCCAACAUUACUACAUCUUUGUUGUUUGGGAGAUGUAUUAAUUCAUUGAUAUUCAUUUAACUGAAAUACCUUUUAAUAGUGAUGUGCAAAAAUAAAUUUCUCAAUACAAAACCUGUGUAAUAUAAGACCUAUUAGGACCUAGUUAUCCAUACAAUUUUCGCUUAUACAGUGAAAUUAUUGCAUUAUUAAUUAUGGCCAGAGAUGAAUAAUUAAUCCCUCGUCAACCAUGGCCCCCCAUGCUUAACCAUGAAAAUCUGCUUUUGUUUUUUCUGAGUGAAGUUGAUGAGAGAGUGAUUCCUAUACAAAUACAUUAGACUUCCCAAAUAAAUUCCUACAUUGACUAUAAGGAAGGACAUACCUGUAAAGAUAAAUAAAUGUAUUUUGUGUUUGUGUGUGUGUGUGUGUGUGUGUGUGUGCGUGCAUGCGUGCGUGCGUGUUAAGAGCCCACAGCUGGAACUCACAGGUAAAUAUCCAUUUGGAUACACCAUCACUCUGCCGGGAUUUCUGCAUCAACUCUGUGUAGAUGGUUACAGUAUAAUUAACAGCUGAAUUCAGGUUUUGAAAUGUGUGAAAUGUUUCAUUGGUGGUGGCCUCAAUGAAAUUUCCUUGUUCGAGCUUGAGUCGAUAGAAGUCAAAGUUUCCAUCUGGGGGAUCCCACCUAGCCAUGAUACAGUCAUUGGAACUGUUCAAAAUCAGAUUUUUCACAGGGGAUGGUUCUGCAGUGGAGAGACAGAAAGAGAGGGGGAGAGAAAUCAAAUGUGAAAUUCCAGUGGCCAUUACAUCACUGCACAUCUGUGAAUGACUAAUCUGUGUACUUGCGUCAUUGUCUUUCAGUCAGUCUUUGAAUCCUAUUGAUCAGUCUCUGUCUGUUUGUACUUGUGUUUAAAUCAGAACUCACUGGAAUAAUACAUGAUUGUAAAAGCCUCUCCCUCCACUGAGUCAUUUGGCAUCGCCCCUGCUCGUGCUGCCACGCUCAGCUGAAACUCUGUGCCCGCAGUGAGAUUUUUCACUGUAAGAUUGGUGCCAACCAAGGUUUGAUUCAAAAGAAUUUUCCUUGUCUUCCCCUGUUGGACAUGUACUCUGUAGCAACAGCUGCUUCCCUCUGGCGGCAUCCAUGUUAACAUGAUGGUAUCCAUAGUGACCUCAUUGGCAGUCAAUUCCCUUACCUUAUCUGGUACUGGAAUAAAGGAAAGAGAAUAAUGACAUUAUGUCAGGGAACACACUUGCAUGCAACAUCAUACUGUACUAAUGUUGACCGGAUUUGGCUUUUAAGUAUAACUGCACAAUGGAUAGUGGAAACCGCCAAGAUCAAAGACAAGCCAAUUAAUGUAAUCAGUCAAUAAAUUUGGAGAUGUAUAUCA